ACAAACGGAGGCAGUGCAUCGUUUCAUGAAUUUUCCUUUGUUGUGUUUAUUUUUGCAUUAUUGAAUGAAAUAUAUUAAUUUUAAGGACAAUAUUGCAGUGAUAGUGUUUAUUGAGAAUUUUCGUGACAUUUGUUAGUGGCCAGUGUUCAUUGUUUACUUCUAAGAUCAAACAACGUGCGUCGGGGGAACAACCAGCCAUCAUAAUAAAGGGUGUGAACAUCAUCAGUACGUGUUUAUGAUCGUACGGUGAGGAAACUCGGCCGAUAGUAGUCGGU